UACGAGGGGGGCAAAUGUUGUUCGGAAUCACUGGGCGUAAAGGGAGCGUAGGCGGGUUCUUAAGUUAGGUGUUUAAUCCCGGGGCCCAACCCCGGACCGGCACUUAAAACUGGGAAUCUUGAAUAGUGGAGAGGUCAGUGGAAUUGGGGGUGUAGCGGUGGAAUGCGUAGAGAUCCCCAAGAACACCAGUUGCGAAGGCGGCUGACUGGACACAUACUGACGCUGAGGCUCGAAAGCAUGGGGAGCAAACAGG
rnacentral:rRNA from 1 species